CCCUUAGAUGUCCGGGGCUGCACGCGCGCUACACUGAGGGAAUCAGCGUGCUAAAACCAUUGUCGAAAGGCAUUGGUAAACCCAUUAAAAUCCUACGUGAUUGGGAUCGGGAAUUGCAAUUAUUUCCCUUGAACGAGGAAUUCCCAGUAAGUGUGGGUCAUAAGCUCGCGUUGAUUACGUCCCUGCCCUUUGUACACACCGCCCGUCGCUGCCCGGGACUGAGCCGUUUCGAGAAAAGCGGGGACUGCUGCUGUCGGGGCUUUCGGGCCUUGGCUUCGGUGGAAACCGCUUUAAUCGCAGUGGCUUGAACCGGGCAAAAGUCGUAACA
rnacentral:rRNA from 1 species